GGAAACCAGCUCUACCACUCCCUGCUAUGUAUUGUGCUUCAGUUCCUCAUCCUUCGACUAAUGGGCCGCACCAUCACUGCCGUCCUCACUACCUUUUGCUUCCAGAUGGCCUACCUUCUGGCUGGAUACUAUUACACUGCCACCGGCAACUACGAUAUCAAGUGGACAAUGCCACAUUGUGUUCUGACUUUGAAGCUGAUUGGUUUGGCUGUUGACUACUUUGACGGAGGGAAAGAUCAGGUAAGUACCCAUUCAUCCGCAGAGAGGUUCAAGACUUAAUGAAAGGGAAGAAAAAAGUUAACAAAAGACUGAACCCAAAUUCCAGAGCGGAGCCUCUCCCUCAUUCCCCAGCCUGUGCAAUCUCCCUUUCAGAUAGCACUGAGCAAGGAUCAACAAAUCUAAUUUGCCCAGGAUCCAGCUCUUACACAAAGUCCAGAGAUCAAUGCCAGCAAGGCAUUUGCUAAAGCAGCAACAGCCAGCUAUGCACACACAUACGCAUUUCCACAGAAGCAACUAUUUGUCAUCCCCCAAAGAGAA
rnacentral:sRNA from 1 species